rnacentral:rRNA from 1 species
GACAGAGGGUGCAAACGUUGUUCGGAAUUACUGGGCAUAAAGCGCACGUAGGUGGUCCACUAAGUCGAGUGUGAAAUCCCCCGCUCAACCGGGGAAUUGCGCUCGAUACUGGCGGACUAGAGGUCGAUAGGGGUGAGCGGAACUCCAGGUGGAGCGUGAAAUGCGUAGAUAUCUGGAGGAACACCGGUGGCGAAAGCGGCUCACUGGAUCGAAACUGACACUGAGGUGCGAAAGCUAGGGUAGCAAACGGG